rnacentral:lncRNA from 1 species
CAACAUUUUAAUCUCCAAUUUCCUUUGACCAAAAAGUAAAAUAAAAUAAAAUAAAGAAUAAAGCAGAAAUGAAAUAAAAGAGAACAAACUAGUAAAAAAAAUUUGGGUUUAUUGGUUUAACCCGGAGUCUUUUAUUAAUCAGCUCUUAACCUCUUCUUCUUAGUCUCUUGCCUCAAACUCUUUGAGGUAUGUAUUUGACCACUGCCUUUGUUAGAAAUAAUGACUAUCUUCAUCUCCCAUCACCACCCACAUUUAGCUCAUGUUGGUUAGCACAGCACGGAAACAAGUUAUUCUAAAGCUCAAAAUUGCCUGCUCCCUGUCUUUUGCACACAUGAAUAAAACUGGCCCAAGGACCCUGUCUCAGGAAAGGUUUGUGGAAAGACAGUUAGGUGUCCUGGGAGUUGCCUACUCCUGACCUUUAACAGACCUGCACUCUUCUCAAAGGAAGAUUCCAAAUGGAGAAAGAACAGCAAAUGAAACACCUUUGUUUAGAGGAAAAUGAUUAAUAUACUUGCUUUAAAAUCAAGGAAGAGAAAGAAGUUAAUCCCUUCUGAGACACAU